UACGGGGGGGGCAAGCGUUGUCCAGAAUUAUUGGGCGUAAAGGGCUCGUAGGUGGCUAACUAAGUCAGACGUGAAAUCCCUCGGCUUAACCGGGGAACUGCGUCUGAUACUGGAUGGCUUGAGUUUGGGAGAGGGACGCGGAAUUCCAGGUGUAGCGGUGAAAUGCGUAGAUAUCUGGAGGAACACCGGUGGCGAAGGCGGCAUCCUGGACCGACACUGACGCUGAGGAGCGAAAGCCAGGGGAGCAAACGGG
rnacentral:rRNA from 1 species